GAUUAACGCUGGCGGCGUGCCUAAUACAUGCAAGUCGAACGGAAACCUUCGGGUUUUAGUGGCGAACGGGUGAGUAACACGUAAGCAACCUACCCUAAAGACGAGGAUAACCAUUGGAAACAGUGGCUAAGACUGGAUAGGAAGAUAAAAGGCAUCUUUUAUCUUUUAAAAGACCUAGUAAUAGGUAUGCUUUAGGAGGGGCUUGCGCCAUAUUAGUUAGUUGGUAGGGUAAUGGCCUACCAAGACGAUGAUGUGUAGCUGGACUGAGAGGUUGAACAGCCACAUUGGGACUGAGACACGGCCCAAACUCCUACGGGAGGGCAGCAGUAGGAAUUUUCGGCAAUGGAGGAAACUCUGACCGAGCAACGCCGCGUGAAUGACGAAGUACUUCGGUAUGUAAAGUUCUUUAUCAAGGAAGAAAAGCAAAUGGCGAACCAUUUGUUUGCCGGUACUUGAUGAAUAAGCCCCGGCUAAUUAUGUGCCAGCAGCCGCGGUAAGACAUAAGGGGCAAGUGUUAUCCGGAAUUAUUGGGCGUAAAGGGUGCGUAGGCGGUCUAGUAAGUCAGUGGUGUAAUGGCAACGCUUAACGUUGUCCGGCUAUUGAAACUGCUAAACUUGAGUUAGAUAGAGGCGAGUGGAAUUCCAUGUGUAGCGGUAAAAUGCGUAAAUAUAUGGAGGAACACCAGAGGCGUAGGCGGCUCGCUGGGUCUUAACUGACGCUGAGGCACGAAAGCGUGGGGAGCAAACAGGAUUAGAUACCCUGGUAGUCCACGCCGUAAACGAUGAGUACUAAGUGUCGGGUUAAACCGGUACUGAAGUUAACACAUUAAGUACUCCGCCUGAGUAGUACGUACGCAAGUAUGAAACUUAAAGGAAUUGACGGGACUCCGCACAAGCGGUGGAUCAUGUUGUUUAAUUCGAAGAUACCCGAAAAACCUUACCAGGUCUUGACAUGUUUUUGCAAAAUGAUAGUAAUAUCGUGGAGGUUACCAGAAACACAGGUGGUGCAUGGUUGUCGUCAGCUCGUGUCGUGAGAUGUUAGGUUAAGUCCUAAAACGAGCGAAACCCUUAUCGUUAGUUGCCAGCACGUUAUGGUGGGGACUUUAACGAGACUGCCAAUGAUAAAUUGGAGGAAGGUGAGGAUCACGUCAAAUCAGCAUGCCCCUUAUGACCUGGGCUACAAACGUGAUACAAUGGCUGUUACAAAGGGUAGCUGAAACGCAAGUUCUUGGCCAAUCCCCAAAAACAGUCCCAGUCCGGAUUGAAGUCUGCAACUCGACUUCAUGAAGUUGGAAUCGCUAGUAAUCGCGAAUCAGCAUGUCGCGGUGAAUACGUUCUCGGGGUUUGUACACACCGCCCGUCAAAC
rnacentral:rRNA from 1 species